GGAAAAAAGCAACAGGAGUCCAUCCCAUUCUCUUGAGACAACAGGUUCACUGAUCACAGAGAAAAUUUCUUUUCCCUCAGAGUUUAGGCACCUUCAGGUCUGUGCUGUCACCAAUAUCCUUACUGCUACUGCCAUGGAGCAGGGAUUCAAGAUAACCAAAGGAAGACAAAGGUAAAGAAAAAUAAGAAGUUUUCUCCACUCUCUCUGAGCACUCAAAGAUUGUUUUUUUCACAUCUUGAGCCAGAACUAGAAGACUUCCAUUGCUCUCUCUCUUUCUAUAUCAAUACCCACUUCUGGGAUUCAGGCUUCCUUGGACCCAGGCUGGCAGAUGGAGAGCAAAAAAUGGGACAAAAUGGCAGCAGCCAGCCUGACCAUUCCCUUCCCAUCAUGAGGGAGAGGGCUGUGGUAUGGACAGCAGCAGCUGACUGGCCACAGGUGCAGCCACUGCCAUCCAGCCCCGACUCAUUCCUAGAAUAAGAACCACCAGACUGCCCUCUGACACCUGCCUCAGCGGUCCCCACCACUCCUCAAACCCUGUCACCGUCCACAGACAAGCCCUGGAGGGGUGGGGAAAAGGUUUCAUUGUGAGAAACCACUGGGGAUCCUGAAGUUAAAACUCAUCAAAGUGUGGGGAAAACUAAGACUGGCCUAGCAGGAUUUUUACUCUCAAGCUAAUCUACACUCAACCUCAAAGAAUUUAUUAAAAUUCACAUUUAACCAUCUUAUCAGUAUACAUCUUCAAGAGCUUUCGUUUCUGGUACAAAAGUUUCAGCUGCAGUUACUUGUAUUCAUCUGUCUCUUCAGAUUUCGAGGUGGUGGUCUGUCUUGUGAGCUCAAGUCUCUGGUGAUUCUAAUAAAUGUCAUUGAUUUUUUAA
rnacentral:lncRNA from 1 species